CCAAUAGCGUAUAUUAAAGUUGUUGCAGUUAAAAAGCUCGUAGUUGAAUUUCGGGAUCAAUAUGUCGGUCGUGCCUUCGGUACGUACUGGUAUCAUUGGUCUCUCCUUUCUGACGAACCAUGAUGUCAUUAAUUUGGUGUUAUGGGGAGUUAGGACUGUUACUUUGAAAAAAUUAGAGUGUUUAAAGCAGGCUUUAGCUUGAAUACAUUAGCAUGGAAUAAUGAAAUAGGACGUUCGAACCUAUUUUGUUGGUUUCUAGGAUCAACGUAAUGAUUAAUAGGGAUAGUUGGGGGCAUUAGUAUUCAAUUGUCAGAGGUGAAAUUCUUGGAUUUAUUGAAGACUAACUACUGCGAAAGCAUUUGCCAAGGAUGUUUUCAUUAAUCAAGAACGAAAGUUAGGGGAUCGGAGACGAUCAGAUACCGUCGUAGUCUUAACCAUAAACUAUGCCGACUAGGGAUCGGAUGAUGUUAAUUUUUUAAUGACUCAUUCGGCGCCUUACG
rnacentral:rRNA from 1 species